UACGAAGGGUGCAACCGUUGCUCGGAAUUAUUGGGCGUAAAGCGCACGUAGGCGGCAUCGCAAGUCCCAUGUGAAAGCCCACGGCUUAACCGUGGAAGUGCAUGGGAAACUGCAGUGCUUGAGUACUUAAGAGGAUCGCGGAAUUCCCGGUGUAGAGGUGAAAUUCGUAGAUAUCGGGAGGAACACCAGUGGCGAAGGCGGCGAUCUGGGAAGAUACUGACGCUGAGGUGCGAAAGCGUGGGGAGCAAACAGG
rnacentral:rRNA from 1 species